rnacentral:rRNA from 1 species
CCUACGGGAGGCAGCAGUGAGGAAUAUUGGUCAAUGGGCGCGAGCCUGAACCAGCCAAGUAGCGUGAAGGAUGACUGCCCUACGGGUUGUAAACUUCUUUUAUAAAGGAAUAAAGUGAGGCACGUGUGCCUUUUUGUAUGUACUUUAUGAAUAAGGAUCGGCUAACUCCGUGCCAUCAGCCGCGGUAAUACGGAGGAUCCGAGCGUUAUCCGGAUUUAUUGGGUUUAAAGGGAGCGUAGAUGGGUUGUUAAGUCAGUUGUGAAAGUUUGCGGCUCAACCGUAAAAUUGCAAUUGAUACUGGCAGUCUUGAGUACAGUUGAGGUAGGCGGAAUUCGUGGUGUAGCGGUGAAAUGCUUAGAUAUCACGAAGAACUCCGAUUGCGAAGGCAGCUUACUAAACUGCCACUGACAUUGAGGCUCGAAAGUGUGGGUAUCAAACAGGAUUAGAUACCCGAGUAGUC